AUGGGAAGGACAUCCAAGAGCAUAGAUGAUGCUGAUUGGCAGGACGUUCUGUCCAUGAAAGAGGAAUUCGGCAUUCUGCAGCAAGACUCAACAUUUUUGUGUACUGAUGUUUCCAAGCUUCAACAAGAGGUAUCAUCCAUCGGCCCCAAACAAACUGAAAUAUGUGAGCAAGUAGGAGGUGUACAGCAAGCAGUGCUACAAUUGGGUAAACAAAUGGCAGCCAUGAAUUUAGUUCUGAAAUCUCUAGUACCCAAAUCAGUGAACAGGAAUGAGGAUGAAGCUGAAACUAGUGCAAGUCAAGUAGUAAAAUCGCCAACUCUAGCUCGGGCAGAAUUGCAAAAUCUGGAGCACAGAAAUGCAAAUCUCAGGAAACAUUUGGAGGCAGAAAGAGAGCUGAACAGACAAUUUGAAGAAGCUCAACUCCAAAAUUUACCUCCUGUCAGAGUGCAGAAACCCAGUACUACAGAGAGAAUUCCAAUGCAAGAUUUAACUGCUGAAAGGAAUACCCCUGUGGCACAUCAGGCCAAGCCACACACACCUGCAUUUCAAUAG
rnacentral:rRNA from 1 species